AAAAAAGAAAGCAAAGGUUAACAUUAUUGGUUUCUAAGUUCUAAUUUUUAGUAGGAGGCUCCGCCAACAGUUUUUGAACAUUGUUCCUUUAGCAUAGGAGGAAAAAACGGAUUGAACGGAAGUUGCGGAAUACAAUUGGUUUCGGCUUCCAAAAUUGCUUUGCAACAAGCUGAACCUAUCUUGCCGAACUUUUCUAAGAGUAUGGAUUGCGAAAACUCUACGAUGCACCCUGGAAUAUUUAUCACAGAUGAUAAACAUUUUGUUAUAUCAGGUAAUCCUGGUACACCGGGACUCGGUAGAAAUGGAAAUGGAAAAGGAAAAAGUGCCGGAAAUUGUGGUAAUUGGGCAUUUACAGACAAUGCAAUGCAUAAAACCGCUAGAAAUAAGAUCACGUUUUUUAUAGCCAUAAU
rnacentral:sRNA from 1 species